rnacentral:rRNA from 1 species
CAGUCGAACGGCAGCACGGGUGCUUGCACCUGGUGGCGAGUGGCGAACGGGUGAGUAAUACAUCGGAACGUACCUUAUCGUGGGGGAUAACGCAGCGAAAGCUGUGCUAAUACCGCAUACGCCCUGAGGGGGAAAGCGGGGGAUCGAAAGACCUCGCGUGAUUAGAGCGGCCGAUGCCUGAUUAGCUUGUUGGUGGGGUAAAAGCCCACCAAGGCGACGAUCAGUAGCUGGUCUGAGAGGACGAUCAGCCACACUGGGACUGAGACACGGCCCAGACUCCUACGGGAGGCAGCAGUGGGGAAUUUUGGACAAUGGGGGAAACCCUGAUCCAGCAAUGCCGCGUGAGUGAAGAAGGCCUUCGGGUUGUAAAGCUCUUUUGUCAGGGAAGAAACACCGGCUCUAACACAGUCCGGGAAUGACGGUACCUGAAGAAUAAGCACCGGCUAACUACGUGCCAGCAGCCGCGGUAAUACGUAGGGUGCGAGCGUUAAUCGGAAUUACUGGGCGUAAAGCGUGCGCAGGCGGUUAUACAAGACAGGCGUGAAAUCCCCGGGCUUAACCUGGGAAUGGCGCCUGUGACUGUAUAGCUAGAGUGUGUCAGAGGGGGGUAGAAUUCCACGUGUAGCAGUGAAAUGCGUAGAUAUGUGGAGGAAUACCAAUGGCGAAGGCAGCCCCCUGGGAUAACACUGACGCUCAUGCACGAAAGCGUGGGGAGCAAACAGGAUUAGAUACCCUGGUAGUCCACGCCCUAAACGAUGCUGACUAGUUGUUCGGGAUUUACAUCCUGAGUAACGUAGCUACGCGUGAAGUCAGCCGCCUGGGGAGUACGGUCGCAAGAUUAAAACUCAAAGGAAUUGACGG